rnacentral:rRNA from 1 species
AUGACGCCUGCCAAACGCCCCUUUUCCCCUAGAUCCCCAUCCCCCACUCCAGAGCGUUGUAGCCUAAGCCCGGCUACGCUUCCCGUGGAGCUCGAGGAGCGACUAGCCCAAAAGAGGUGUAUCGCGGUCUCUUCACCUGACGUCGCCGAGGAAGCUGAUGACCGUUACUGGCGGCAGGAACUCAAGCAGCGGGCUAGAGUAUGCGGGCAUGUCUCUUCUGCCGGCUACGACAUCGAAGUCAUGGACAACGACGGCCUGAGGCGGGCUAUGUCACAGGUUAAGUGGCCCACCCCAACCACUUGGGUUCAACCGCCGUCGAUCUCAUGCAUGGCCCCGCCGCUGAUCUCCUCUGGCUCGCUGUCAACAACUUACCAUCCUACAUCGCCAUCGAGCCCCUUUUGUCAUUUCUAA